GCCUAGUUAGCUUAGUUGGUAGUGCGUCUGCCUUGUAAGCUAGGCCGCGGGUUCGAUUCCCGCCCGGGGCG
rnacentral:tRNA from 1 species